GGGAACAGAGAGACUGGCCCAUUGAUCCUAGUUUGGGAUUGGGUGGGAAGACCUCAUAAAAUAGUGAAGGGUAGACUGAGUCUUGAAUGACCUAAACAAAUAUAUAGAUAUAAUUGGCCAGCCCUCAGCUGGUCUCUGAUUAUGACCCGACCUGCUGAGAUAAAAUCCAGUGCAUCCUGUGCUACCUUGUUCAUGUCCCAGGAUUCAGUGACUUUGGGCAACUGAGGCUGUACAGGAAGCAUGGCUGGAGAGGCCCCAGGAAACUUACAAUCAUGGUGGAAAGCAAAGGGGAAGCAGACUGUACAGGAAGCAUGGCUGGGAGGCUUCAGGAAUUUACAAUCAUGGCAGAAGGCAAAGAGGAAACAAGCACAUCUUCUCAUGGUCAGCAGGAGAGAGAGAGUGAAGGGGGCACUGGGACAGGCACUGGGAAGACAAUGCAGAUUAAGAGUUUCUGCUUUUAAGGGACUCAGUCUGAAUGGAGACAGGUGCUGGUGAUGCAAUCAGACAAGUUCUCUGCUGUUCUGGAGUUUACAUUUGGAAGAAUUGUGUUAUAUACCAGGGAAGGAUGUGGUAACUCUCCUGAAACCUUCCCUUGGUCAUUGUCUUCUUCUUCUUCUCCUCCUCCCUUUUCUCCCUCUCUUCCCCCUCCUCCUUCUCCUCUUAUUCUUCUUCCUCCUUCUGUUUUUAAAUGAGGAAGCCCAUAGAAAAUAUUGUGACAGGGAGAAAUGGAUUUUAAAUAAGUAUGACUGAAAAAAAACUUUUACUAUAAUAGAAAAUCUUGGUGCUGAGGGAAGAAAUCCAAAAAAUUAAAAAUCUUCAGAAGGUA
ensembl:lncRNA novel transcript